UGAGUAACCUGCCCUUAACUCUGGGAUAAGCCUGGGAAACUGGGUCUAAUACCGGAUAUGACUCCUCAUCGCAUGGUGGGGGGUGGAAAGCUUUAUUGUGGUUUUGGAUGGACUCGCGGCCUAUCAGCUUGUUGGUGGGUAAUGGCCUACCAAGGCAACGACGGGUAGCUGGUCUGAGAGGAUGGCCAGCCACAGUUGGGACUGAGAUACGGCCCAGACCUCCGUACGGAAGCAG
rnacentral:rRNA from 1 species